rnacentral:rRNA from 1 species
CAGUCGCCGCGGUAAUACGAAGGGGGCUAGCGUUGCUCGGAAUGACUGGGCGUAAAGGGCGCGUAGGCGGUUUUGACAGUCAGAUGUGAAAUUCCUGGGCUUAACCUGGGGGCUGCAGUGGAUACUGGGUCACUAGAGUGUGGUAGAGGAUAGUGGAAUUUCCGGUGUAGCAGUGAAAUGCGUAGAGAUCGGAAGGAACAUCUGUGGCGAAGGCGACUAUCUGGGCCAACACUGACACUGAGGCACGAAAGCGUGGGGAGCAAACAGGAUUAGAUACCCCAGUAGUCCCUGUCUCUUAUAC